AUGAAAUGUCAAUGCUCUAACAUGUCAGACUCACUCAGGCUGUGGAUCAGAAGGAUGUAUGGUACUUGUGGACUCUGCGUUUCCUUCAUUUUGUUUUUUGGUCUGCAAGUAAACCUAUGAAAGAAAAAAGGAUUUACAUGAGAUGAACAUUGAUUACAUUAGAAACAAUUUAAAAUAUCCAGGGACUUCCUGGUUUAUAUGUGGAAGCUGAACACAUCCCACCCCUCUGUAACGGUAUAAAGUCUCAUCUCAAUGUGUUCACUGAAGCUGUGCCUCAUGAGGAUGGAUGGUUCUUGGGAACUCUGUGUGUUUUUCAUUUUGAUUGUUGGUAGGGCAAACAGUGUGACAGUUGUACAGACUUCGUUCAUCCUAAUCAAUGAAACAGAAGAAAUUAAAAUCACUUGUAAACAUGAUGGUAGCAGCUUACGGGUAAUGCUAUGGUAUCAGCAAAAAAGCAGCACAGUUAUGGAUCUAAUUGGAUAUACUGCUGGACCGACGAGUGAGCCAAACUAUGAGGAUGGAUUUAAAGAUCAAUUCAAACAGAGCAGACAGAGCACAACUGAAGGAAGUCUGACCAUCUCUCAACUCCGCCAGUCAGACUCUGCUGUUUAUUACUGUGCAGCAA